rnacentral:rRNA from 1 species
GACGAACGCUGGCGGCGUGCUUAACACAUGCAAGUCGAACGGAAAGGCCUGCUUUCCCUUGUGGAUUGCGGGUACUCGAGUGGCGAACGGGUGAGUAACACGAGAGUGCUCUGCCCCCAACUAGGGUAUAAGCCUGGGAAACUGGGUCUAAUUCCCGAUAGGACUGCAGGGUGGUGCCAGUGGUGGAAAACGAUCUUCUAGUGGUUGGGGAUGAGCUCGCGGCCUAUCAGCUUGUUGGUGGGGUAAUGGCCUACCAAGCCGGCGACGGGUAGCCAGCCUGGGAGGGUGGACGGCCGCAUUGGGACUGGGUUACGGCCCAGACGCCUACGGGAGGCAGCAGUUGGGAAUAUUGCACAAUGGGCGGAAGCCUGAUGCAGCGACGCCGCGUGGGGGAUGACGGCCUUCGGGUUGUAAACUCCUUUCGACCGCGAGGAAGCCACCUGGUUGGAAGUGUGGUGACGGUAGUGGUAGAAGAAGCACCGGCUAACUACGUG